GAUGAACGCUGGCGGCGUGCUUAACACAUGCAAGUCGAACGGUAAAGCCCAGCUUUCUUGGUGUGUUCGUGUCGCACACGUGUGUGUCACAUGUGUGUCCUCCGCUUUACUCUGUGGUAAAACUUCGGGACUCUGUCUCUUACUCCAGAUGACUUCUCCUCGCGUGUGGUGGGGUUUGGAGAGUUAUUGUGGUUGGGGAUGGACUCGCGGCAUAUCAGCUUGUUGGUGGGGUAGUGGCACACCAAGGCCACGACGGGUAGCCGGCCUGAGAGGGUGACCGGCCACACUGGGACUGAGAUACGGCCCAGACUCCUACGGGAGGCAGCAGUGGGGAAUAUUGCACAAUGGGCGGAAGCCUGAUGCAGCGACGCCGCGUGAGGGAUGACGGCCUUCGGGUUGUAAACCGCUUUCAGUAGGGAAGAAGCGAGAGUGACGGUAACUGCAGAAGAAGCGCCGGCUAACUACGUG
rnacentral:rRNA from 1 species